UACGAAGGGGGCUAGCGUUGUUCGGAAUCACUGGGCGUAAAGCGCACGUAGGUGGAUUGUUAAGUCGGGGGUGAAAUCCUGAGGCUCAACCUCAGAACUGCCUUCGAUACUGGCAAUCUCGAGUCCGGAAGAGGUUGGUGGAACAGCUAGUGUAGAGGUGAAAUUCGUAGAUAUUAGCUAGAACACCAGUGGCGAAGGCGGCCAACUGGUCCGGUACUGACGCUGAGGUGCGAAAGCGUGGGGAGCAAACAGG
rnacentral:rRNA from 1 species